rnacentral:ncRNA from 1 species
AAAAAGGGAGGCCAGAACCCUAUUUAAAACGGGGCGAAUUCCGAAAAGCCAUACUAGUAGGAAAAA